CAGGUGGUGCAUGGUUGUCGUCAGCUCGUGUCGUGAGAUGUUGGGUUAAGUCCCGCAACGAGCGCAACCCUCGACCUUAGUUGCCAGCAUUCAGUUGGGCACUCUAAGGUGACUGCCGGCUAAAAGUCGGAGGAAGGUGGGGAUGACGUCAAAUCAUUAUGCCCCUUAUGACCUGGGCUACACACGUGCUACAAUGGGCGGUACAAAGGGUCGCGAACCCGCGAGGGGGAGCCAAUCCCAAAAAGCCGCUCUCAGUUCGGAUUGCAGGCUGCAACUCGCCUGCAUGAAGCCGGAAUCGCUAGUAAUCGCGGAUCAGCAUGCCCGCGGUCGAAUACGUUCCCGGGCCUU
rnacentral:rRNA from 1 species